GUGCUUGCUUCAGCAGCACAUAUACAAAGAUUGGAAGAAAAAAUUAGCAUGACCCUUCUGCAAGGAUGACAUGCAAAUUUGUGAUGUUCCAUAUUUUU
rnacentral:snRNA from 1 species